rnacentral:rRNA from 1 species
UACGUAGGGUGCAAGCGUUACUCGGACUUACUGGGCGUAAAGCGUGCGCAGGCGGUUAUGUAAGACAGUUGUGAAAUCCCCGGGCUCAACCUGGGAACUGCAUCUGUGACUGCAUAGCUAGAGUACGGUAGAGGGGGAUGGAAUUCCGCGUGUAGCAGUGAAAUGCGUAGAUAUGCGGAGGAACACCGAUGGCGAAGGCAAUCCCCUGGACCUGUACUGACGCUCAUGCACGAAAGCGUGGGGAGCAAACAGG